rnacentral:rRNA from 1 species
GAUGAACGCUGGCGGCGUGCUUAACACAUGCAAGUCGAACGGAAAGGCCCAAGCUUGCUUGGGUACUCGAGUGGCGAACGGGUGAGUAACACGUGGGUGAUCUGCCCUGCACUUCGGGAUAAGCCUGGGAAACUGGGUCUAAUACCGGUUAGGACCACAUUUUGGAUGGUGUGGUGGAAAGUUUUUCGGUGUGGGAUGAGCUCGCGGCCUAUCAGCUUGUUGGUGGGGUAAUGGCCUACCAAGGCGUCGACGGGUAGCCGGCCUGAGAGGGUGUACGGCCACAUUGGGACUGAGAUACGGCCCAGACUCCUACGGGAGGCAGCAGUGGGGAAUAUUGCACAAUGGGCGCAAGCCUGAUGCAGCGACGCCGCGUGGGGGAUGACGGCCUUCGGGUUGUAAACUCCUUUCGCUAGGGACGAAGCGUUAUGUGACGGUACCUGGAGAAGAAGCACCGGCUAACUACGUG